GUUCUUAGAACCCCAGCCAGGGCCUAACUAGGGAAUAACUGAAUAGGUUUAAACAUAGAAUUUUUUUUAAUACUCCUGGGUUACAACUCAGUUAACAAAGGGAAACUUAUGGAAGGAAGAUAGUUUUAUUACUAUUUGAUUGGAUAACUAAAGAAAAUUGAGAGUUUCCCCCAGAAUGGAAAAUUACAGACCGAAGUAAAAUUAGAUGGCCUAUUGAAACAAAAAAGAAUUACAGCCAGCCUUGAUUACUGAUACUUAUUACUGAGCAUAACCUUCGCCAGUUCCCAACACUUCAAAUUCCAAAAUACUGGAGCCAGGAGACGUAAAGAAAAGCUUGGACAUACACUAAGAGAAGCAGACACCGGGAGGCAAUGUAGUGUGAUGGAAAGGAAAACAAUACACUACCAGCCCGAUCACACUAAUGCUAACCAGAGGACGGACUGGACUCCCUGCCAGCCAUCCUACUGAUGUCCUUACCACACAGCCUUUGGCUGCACCAAUUCCAACUCCAGGGCACCCAUUUUCUCUGCUUCAAACACCACACAGCGUUACUAAGAGUCAUGAAUAACCUGGUCUGCUACGAAAUCAUUUAUCUUCCUCUGACACCAUUCGCUGACUCAAAAUUCCCUAAAGGCCUCCCCUCACUAACUCACAAGGCAAUAAACUAUGUGUUUUUGAGUAAAAAUAGAUCUACUGCCAAAAAUAGCACAGGGACUAUUUGGGAAAAAAAAGUUCUUAAUCUGGGAAACGUCCAACCUCAAAAGCAAUAUUGAGCAAACAAAAAAUGCCACCUCUGAGCUGCCAGGCCACGUUAGCAAAGUUAGGGUUAAUAUUACUUCUCCCGAACAGCACUCCCAUCCUUCAUAGCUACACGCACACACGCUACCGUCCCAUCUUUUAUAGUCGCCCACACCCAAACACUACCAACAAUCUUGCUUUUGAUAGGAGUUUAGAACAGAAGAAAAUGAUUCUCAUGAGCAAUCAGGUAGACAUAACCACAUCAUAAAAUCUUUAAGCUUCUUUGGCAGAAUCCCGUGUCUUUUUUUUAAGAGCUAGAGCGAUGAAAGCUUUUUUGGCCAACUCUUUGCCAAGUUAAUGCCCUACAAGUGAGGAUUCUGCCUGGUCCCACGCUGGCAAAGCACCCACCAACAGUCACCACUUGCCCAGCCGGGAGAGCCCACUGCCUGUUCUCACCAGGGUAAGGCUGCAGUUCCGCAAAGGCCGCAAGAGAGGCUGAACUUCACGCUCAGAGCAGAGGAGUUCAGGCAUUGGCAGCAAUGAAAUGCAACCGCAUCUGAAUGGCAUUACUGCAUGCUACUGUCCCUGGAGGCACCAGGACUAAGGGCUUCAGAAGCUGUGCCAGGUCCUGAUCAGAGGGAAGUGCCAACACCCACUACCAAAGCGGGGAAUGCCAUCGCAGCAAGGAGUGGGAGGGGCUCCCAAACGGUGGGGGCAGAACUGGCAGCCUCCACUUGGACACUGGGAGGAAUUUUAUCAACAGCCUAGAGACUGAAAUUUGGGGUCCCAGACUUAUGAAAUAUGCUAGAUGAACUAUGAAGAAACAAUUGGAGCCAAGGAUACGAAAAUUUCUUAAAAUACCACAGUAUAAUUUAACAUAGUCCUCUACUUCUUAAUUCAUAGCAGAAACUCAAAUUGAAUUAAUACUUUGCUUUUUAAGCUAAAAAAACUCCUGGUCUUCAGGAAAACAAGCAAAAUCCAGAUGUGCCAGUUUGCCUUUCAUGGUCCUCUGCUAUAGCUAAGAUCCCUAAGUGUCAGAUUCUGUUUUUACUCUAACUUGGCAAAAAUGACAUACAUCUAAUAGAUGAAAUUAUUUGUUCAGUAAGCCCGCUUGUGUAAAGGGAUUAGAAUUUCAUCACCAACGAUGACAACGGCUAAUAUACCAGAAUGUAUACUAGAAAUAUUACCCCUUAGCCUCACAGGGCAUGAUCAUACAGUGGCUAAAGUUGAGAGCUCUAAAUUCAAGAGUUCAAAUCCUGGCUUUACAAACUGACUGUGAGAAAACAAACCUCCUUAAAUCUCAUUUGUAAAAUGGAGUUAAUAACAGUAUCCAUCCAGAGUUGUAAUAAAAAUUAAAUGAGAAUGUACACAUGGUAUAAUAGAAACCAUUUACUGAGUGCCUGAUAACUAAAAUGAUAAAUCCCAUUAAACUUGAAGUAUAACACAGAAAACACAUUUGGG
ensembl:lncRNA